AAGAACUAAGAAGACAUACAUACAAGUAUGAAAAAUGUGAAAGAACAUAUAAACACUCGUGAUUUAUCAUUAUUCCUCUACGAAUAGAUAAUUGUUACACUUAUAUUAUCGUUUAGAUUUUUAAAAUCCUUCAAACCCUCAUGAAUAAUGUCUUUUAUUUGGGGGCAAAAUUAAUAAAAUUAAUAAUAAUUAUUGUAGAAGUGUAAAAAAUGUAAAAAUAUAUAUAUACAAUCACUCAUAAAUAAAUAAAUGUAAAUGCUUUAAAUUAAAGAUCAAAUUUAUUCAUUACAUUCUUAUAGGGGUCGAGGAGUGUAUAUGUACAAAAUCAUCAAAAUCGAAGCUAAAAUAACCGUUAAAUUGUGAUUUUUCGUUUAUAACCGUCGAAAACUUUUGUUCCGUUACGUAAUCUUUGAAUGUUUGUUUUUUACGAUUUUUUAAGUUUGCAAUCUCGGAAUGUGUACAAAUAAGUUUGACGGUUGGAUCGUUGAAAAAAGUUUCGUAGAAUUCAUAUUGCGUCAAAACGGUAUAUUAAACAAACCCUUAGAGUUAAUAUUAUACUUCUAUUAAGUAUAACACUAGUUUUUGUGGUAUCCACUAGUGUAAAUACUUUAAAUUAAAGAUCAAAUUUAUUCAUUACAUUCUUAUAUGGUCGAGGAGUGUAUCUGUAAAAAAAUCAUCAAAAUCGGAGUUAAAAUAACCGUUAAAUUGUGAUUUUUCGUUUAUAACCGUCGAAAACUUUUGUUCCGUUACGUAAUCUCUGAAUGUUUGUUUUUUACGUUUUUUUAAGUUUGCAGUCUCAGAAUGUGUACAAAUAAGUUUGACGGUUGGAUCGUUGAAAAAAGUUUCAUAGAAUGCAUAUUGCGUCAAAAUGGUAUAUUAAACAAACACUUAGAGUUAAUAUUAUACUUCUAUUAAGUAUAAAAUAAGUUUUUGUGGUAUCCACUAGUGUAAAUACUUUAAAUUAAAGAUCAAAUUUAUUCAUUACAUUCUUACAGGGUCGAGGAGUCUAUCUGUAAAAAAUCAUCAAAAUCGAAGCUAAAAUAACCGUUAAAUUGUGAUUUUUCGUUUAUAAUCAUCGAAAACUUUUGUUCCAUUACGUAAUCUCUGAAUGUUUGUUUUGUACAAUUUUUUAUGUAUGCGAUCUUGGAAUGUGUACAAAUACGUUUGACGGUUAGAUCGUUGAAAAAAGUUUUGUAGAAUGCAUAUUGCGUCAAAACGAUUGAUUAAACAAACACUUAGAGUUAAUAUUAUACUUUUAUUAAGUAUAAAAUAAGUUUUUGUGGUAUCCACUAGUGUAAAUACUUUAAAUUAAAGAUCAAAUUUUUUCAUUACAUUCUUAUAUGGUCGAGGAGUGUAUCUGUACAAAAAAUCAUCAAAAUCGGAGUUAAAAUAACCAUUAAAUUGUGAUUUUUCGUUUAUAACCGUCGAAAACUUUUGUUCCAUUACGUAAUCUCUGAAUGUUUAUUUUUUACGAUUUUUUACGUAUGCAAUCUCAAAAUGUGUACAAAUAAGUUUGAUGGUUGGAUCGUUAAAAAAAGUUUCGUAGAAUCCAUAUUGCGUCAAAAUAGUAGAUUAAACAACCACUUAAAGUUAAUAUUAUACUUCAAUUAAGUAUAAAAAAAAAAUUUUGUGGUAUAUACUUUAAAUUAAAGAUCAAAUUUAUUCAUUACAUUCUUAUAGGGUCGAGGAGUGUAUCUGUAAAAAAAUCAUCAAAAUCGGAGAUAAAAUAACCGUUAAAUUGUGAUUUUUCGUUUAUAACCGUCAAAAACUUUUGUUCUAUUAUGUAAUCUCUGAUUGUUUGUUUUUUAUGAUUUUUACGUAUGUGAUCUCGGAAUGUGUACAAAUAAGUUUGACGGUUGGAUCAUUGAAAAAAGUUUCGUAGAAUGCAUAUUGCAUCAAAACGGUAGAUUAAACAAAUACUUAGGGUUAAUAUUAUACUUUUAUUAAGUAUAAAAUAAGUUUUUGUGGUAUCUACUAGUGUAAAUACUUUAAAUUAAAGAUCAAAUUUAUUCAUUUCAUUCCUAUAGGGUUGAGGAGUGUAUUUGUAAAAAAUCAUCAAAAUCGGAGCUAAAAUAACCGUUAAAUUGUGAUUUUUCGUUUAUAACCGUCGAAAACUUUUGUUCUAUUACUUAAUCUCUGAAUGUUUGUUUUUUAUGAUUUUUUUACUUAUGCGAUCUCGGAAUGUGUACAAAUAAGUUUGACGGUUGGAUCAUUGAAGAAAGUUCUGUAGAAUGCAUAUUGCGUCAAAACAGUAGAUUAAACAAACACUUAGAGUUAAUAUUAUACUUCUAUUAAGUAUAAAAUAAGUUUUUGUGGUAUUCACUAGUGUAAAUACUUUAAAUUAAAGAUCAAAUUUAUUCAUUACAUUCUUAUAGGUCGAGGAGUCUAUCUGUAAAAAUUCAUCAAAAUCGGAGAUAAAAUAACCGUUAAAUUGUGAUUUUUCGUUUAUAACCGUCGAAAACUUUUGUUCCAUGACGUAAUCUUUGAAUGUUUUUUUUUUACGAUUUUUUACUUAUGCGAUCUCGGAAUGUGUACAAAUAAGUUUGACGGUUGGAUCGUUGAAAAAAGUUUCGUAGAAUGCAUAUUGCGUCAAAACAGUAGAUUAAACAAACACUUGGAGUUAAUAUUAUACUUCUAUUAAGUAUAAAAUAAGUUUUUGUGGUAUCCACUAUUGUAAAUACUUUAAAUUAAAGAUCAAAUUUAUUCAUUACAUUCUUAUAGGGUCGAUGAGUGUAUCUGUAAAAAAUCAUCAAAAUCGGAGCUAAAAUAACCGUUAAAUUGUGAUUUUUCGUUUAUAACCGUCGCAAACUAUUGUUCCAUUACGUAAUCUCUGAAUGUUUGUUUUUUACAAUUUUUUACGUAUGCAAUCUUGGAAUGUGUACAAAUAAGUUUGAUGUUGGAUCGUUGAAAAAAGUUUUUGGACAGCCAGCAAUAGAUAAUUUUGUAGUAGUGAAACCUUAAAUUUAUUUAACCGUCGAUUAUCAUUUACGCUUUAUUCUUCUUACUGAAUUUCAUUUUUAAAAUUUUAUUUUUUGAAAACAUGAUCAUCUAGCAGAUGUAAGAAGAUGAUAUCACGUUUCGAUAUUUACGGUUAACUGAAAUAUGAGUCAAUGUCAUAUAAUUUGUAGAAACUUUAUAAACAUCAAGCAAUAUUUUCACUAACCGUAAAACUCUAAAUAUAAUAUCAACGAUUCAAACCGUUCAUCUACAUGCACCCUCUAAUAGAUCAUGUUUUCAAAAAAGAAAAUCUAAAAAAACGAAAUUUGAUGAGAACAAUGAAGCAUAAAUGUAAACAACAAUCAACGGUUAAAUUUUGAUCUAUGAUUUAUAUGAUUAUAGUAGCGAAUUUCGAAGUUAAGCUCUUUAUGAAAGUUAUAAAGCUUGUCAUUACGAGUGUUUAUAUAUUUUUUUUCUAUAUUUUUUUACACUUCUACAUUAAUUAAAAAACUAUUAAAGACUUUAGGUAAGCGAAAAUAUACUUAAAACAAAAUUGCGUUUUUAUGUUUUGGAUGUGAUAAUAUGGAAUGUAUAUACUUAUUUAGUAUUAUGUUUUUCAUUUGAUUAUUUAUUAGUUUAAAAUAUAUUUUCCUUAACGGGUAACAUGUCGGGUCAUAUUACCUGUUAAUAUUAUCGGGUCGAUUUCGGGUCGGGUCAUUUUACCCGUUUAUUUUAACGGGUGUUACACGACACGACCCGUUAAGAUAUUGGGUAUGACACAAAAACGACACGAACACGGAAAACACGACACAAAUGUCAGGUCUACUUUUACUCAGACAAAAUCUUCUCCAUUUACCCUUUAUCUAAGGAACACAAGUUGAAUUCUUGAAUUCUUCUCUAGAGAUAUAUCUGGUAUUUUUCCCUUUUCAAAUAUCUUUUCAAUUAUUGAAUUCUUUGUU
rnacentral:lncRNA from 1 species